GAGUUUGAUCCUGGCUCAGGAUGAACGCUAGCUACAGGCUUAACACAUGCAAGUCGAGGGGCAUCAGGAAGAAAGCUUGCUUUCUUUGCUGGCGACCGGCGCACGGGUGAGUAACACGUAUCCAACCUGCCCUUUACUCGGGGAUAGCCUUUCGAAAGAAAGAUUAAUACCCGAUGGCAUAAUGAUUCCGCAUGGUUUCAUUAUUAAAGGAUUCCGGUAAAGGAUGGGGAUGCGUUCCAUUAGGUUGUUGGUGGGGUAACGGCCCACCAAGCCUUCGAUGGAUAGGGGUUCUGAGAGGAAGGUCCCCCACAUUGGAACUGAGACACGGUCCAAACUCCUACGGGAGGCAGCAGUGAGGAAUAUUGGUCAAUGGGCGCUAGCCUGAACCAGCCAAGUAGCGUGAAGGAUGAAGGCUCUAUGGGUCGUAAACUUCUUUUAUAUAAGAAUAAAGUGCAGUAUGUAUACUGUUUUGUAUGUAUUAUAUGAAUAAGGAUCGGCUAACUCCGUGCCAGCAGCCGCGGUAAUACGGAGGAUCCGAGCGUUAUCCGGAUUUAUUGGGUUUAAAGGGAGCGUAGGUGGACUGGUAAGUCAGUUGUGAAAGUUUGCGGCUCAACCGUAAAAUUGCAGUUGAUACUGUCAGUCUUGAGUACAGUAGAGGUGGGCGGAAUUCGUGGUGUAGCGGUGAAAUGCUUAGAUAUCACGAAGAACUCCGAUUGCGAAGGCAGCUCACUGGACUGCAACUGACACUGAUGCUCGAAAGUGUGGGUAUCAAACAGGAUUAGAUACCCUGGUAGUCCACACAGUAAACGAUGAAUACUCGCUGUUUGCGAUAUACAGUAAGCGGCCAAGCGAAAGCAUUAAGUAUUCCACCUGGGGAGUACGCCGGCAACGGUGAAACUCAAAGGAAUUGACGGGGGCCCGCACAAGCGGAGGAACAUGUGGUUUAAUUCGAUGAUACGCGAGGAACCUUACCCGGGCUUAAAUUGCAGUGGAAUGAUGUGGAAACAUGUCAGUGAGCAAUCACCGCUGUGAAGGUGCUGCAUGGUUGUCGUCAGCUCGUGCCGUGAGGUGUCGGCUUAAGUGCCAUAACGAGCGCAACCCUUAUCUUCAGUUACUAACAGGUCAUGCUGAGGACUCUGGAGAGACUGCCGUCGUAAGAUGUGAGGAAGGUGGGGAUGACGUCAAAUCAGCACGGCCCUUACGUCCGGGGCUACACACGUGUUACAAUGGGGGGUACAGAAGGCAGCUAGCGGGUGACCGUAUGCUAAUCCCAAAAGCCUCUCUCAGUUCGGAUCGAAGUCUGCAACCCGACUUCGUGAAGCUGGAUUCGCUAGUAAUCGCGCAUCAGCCACGGCGCGGUGAAUACGUUCCCGGGCCUUGUACACACCGCCCGUCAAGCCAUGGGAGCCGGGGGUACCUGAAGUACGUAACCGCAAGGAUCGUCCUAGGGUAAAACUGGUGACUGGGGCUAAGUCGUAACAAGGUAGCCGUACCGGAAGGUGCGGCUGGAACACC
rnacentral:rRNA from 1 species